UCCAUUGUAUCAAAUUAUUUGUUUCAAUGUAAGUACAUUAAUAUAAAGUGGGACCCAAUUUCUUAGCAACUUGCACAAAACUAAUGGACCUGAAUAUGGGCUAUACAGGAAUCUAGUGGCUACAAAUAUUAUUGAUGAUAAAUGAUCUUGUUUUGGGAGUGGGAUUUGGGGAUUUCAUAAAUCCACUAAAAACACCUAAUUCAAACACAAUGUGACUAAAAUAAAUUAAAGCAAAUAUUAGUGAAAAUAUUUGAGGCUCAUAUGCACUGAAACAGUGGUGUAGAAACAAUGUUCACUCAGAAAUCGCUAGGAAAUUUCACGAGGAACACAUUGAACUGAAGUAGAAUGACUGACAUAGUAUUGUCUUGUAAAAUGAACUCCUUUUAUUUGCUAUUUAAAAAAAGUUUGGUUUUUUUACACUUGAUCAAGUGAAUCACAUUCAGACAUUUUUAAUGUUGGUAAAUAAUGGAUGUAAGGAGAAAGAGUAAAACCUGGUCGAUCACACCAUGAGUCGAACUGAGUGUUGUAUUGUUGGGAUUCAUCUCAGAGCCUUUCUGGAGGAUGUGAGUGAACGGGAAAAGACUUCUGUUGAACUCUAUACAGCUGCUGUUGAUGUGAAUUCACUCACAUACUGAACAUCGUCCAGAAGAGAGACAGAGAGAUGAGGAAAAACACACAGGAGAGAAAAACGGAGAUAUAACAGGCUCACAGCAGACAAAUAACAGCAGAUUGGAAGAGCAUGAGAAUAUCACGCCAUGGUCUCGGUCAGGUGUGAGAGACGGCCAGACAUUAAUCAUGUGAAGGGCUUCAGGCGUUCACCUUCUGUAGAUCAUCUCACCUCAGGAACCAGCAGAU